AAUCUUAAAGUUUUUCUAAACAUUAAAUUGCAAAUUUAAAAUUAAUUAAUAAUAUUUAAUUUAAGAUUU
rnacentral:tRNA from 1 species